CUUAAUUAUUUUAUAACUGAAAGUUUGUGUAAAAAAAUUUUUUUUUGAUUGGAGGAGUCAUUUGCCAGAGUUAUACUAACCAAAAUUUAUGGCCUUUCAUUUUUGUCUUACAUUAUGCCAUAUAUCUAUGCUAAAUUUUGGCAUUUGUCUUAUUGCUCCUUUCGAAUAAACCUGUGUUGAAAUGUCUACCCAUGGUACCCUCUACUUUUCCUAUUGUGCAUUUUCUAACUCAUACUAAUUGCAUGCUUGAUUCCUGUCUUGCCUAGCAAUUCACACACUCUGGGAACAACUGUGACUGUGUUUUCACUGUUGUGUUCUCCGAACCUUGCUCUGAACAAGGCACAUGGUCUACACUCAAUAAAUAAACUCAUGGUGAAUGAGUAUUAUGCAUUCAAAGGAAGAGCAUUCAAUAGGAUGUGAUGGAUGUGACAUCCUGGAAUGUCCAAUGUCCUAGGUUAUAAGAGGCUUUAGAGGAUAUUAUUGAUGCUGAUUUAAGGAUCUGUCUCCUUAAGAAUUUUGCUACAAGCUACAAGUACAUAAUCUUGAAUUGUAGAAAAAAGUGAACUAAUAAUGUCUGACAUACAUCAAAUACUUACCAUGUUCCAAUCACUCUUGGCACCCUACAAGAAUUAUCUGAUUUAAACCUUAGUACUACCCCAUGAAGACACAGGAGGUUAGAGAAGGUAAUUUACUUAAAGCCACCCAGUGAGUGGCAGGGCUUCAAUUCUUAGUCACUAUACAGCACCAACAUUUGCUUUGUGUCUACUUUAUGCCAGGCAUUGUGUUGACUCCUUUAUAUACUUUAUACAUACUUUAGUCAUACUAUUUUCAUUCACUCAUUCAACAAAUGCUUACUGGGCAUCUAUUACUGUGCUGAGAGCUUCGGACAGAGCAGUGUAAAAAUAAAUACAAUCUGUGCCUCAUACUCUAGCAAAGAAGACAUACAUUAAACGGUAAUAGCAAUAACCACUAACAUUUUUCAAGCAUUUACUAUACACUACCCAUCAUUUUUAAGUAUUUAUGUUGAAUACUCAAGAUCAUUCUAACUGAUGAGAAAACUUAAGUACAAAGUCCCAAGUAACACAGGCAUUCACGAUCAGCACUAGGAUAGGAAACUAUGUGGUUUGGCCUCAAGUGCCUUGAUUCUUUAUCUCUCUGCUAUAUUGUUUCAGUAUUACAGUAUGGUGUGAUUAACAGCCAGAUUGUGGAGAGCCUUGUAAGUCAUUUAAAGGUAUCUGACCAGGAUCUAGGUCACUGAAGGGGUUAGGCAGGGGAUUGAUAUCUCAAAUUUGUGUUUGAAGAAUGGAUGAGCAAGAUGAGAGAGAUAUCUCCCAGAAAGAAGGUGACUUCUGUAAUCCAGGUGAGAGAUGAUAGGAUCCAAGAGAUAUUUUGAAGUUAGAAUUGACAGGACUUGGUAAGUGAUUGAGUAUGGGAGGUAGGAGAGUAGGAGGCGUCAAGUGUGACUCUCAGAGAACUAGAGAAUGAUGCCAUUUCCUAAUAUAAAAAGCACUGAAAGAAGGCAAAUAGGGAAAGAAAGAUGAUAUGCCAAUUGUGUUCUCCAAAGACGGCCACAACAUCUUCCAUCCCACAUGCCUUAUGCAAGGUGUCCCUGCCAUUCCCCAGUGAAGAGGGGGAGUUUAAUUCUGCUUCCUAUGAAUCCAGGCUGAUCUUACUGCCUUUCUUGACCAAGAGGAUGUGAUGGAAGUGACAUCCUGGAAUGUCCAAUGUCCUAGGUCACAAGAAGCCUUCUGUGACUUCUGUCUGGGUCUCCUGGAAUGUUCCCUCUUGGGAUACUCCUCUUCAGGAUCAGCCACUAUAUUCUGAGAAGCCCAAGCCACAUGGAAGGCUAUGGUCAGAUGCUCCAUUUGACAGUCACAGAUCUGAACUACUAAGCAUGUUGACCAAGGUUACAAAGUAAAUAGGUUUCCCGAAGAAGCUGGGAUUUGAAUAGAGGCCUAUGUGAGCUGAGGAAUGCUGACUAGACCGGAGGUUUUCCCUGGAAAAUACCAGUACCCAGGACCCAUCUGUGCGAGCACCUCUGAUGUCACAGCUUUCUCAGGAUCGAGCUUUUCAAGUACUGUGAAACUAAUUAGCCACACUCUAUUUUCAUUUUAAUCAUAAUAAGAGGUUAGGAUGUUGUAAAACAAAUAAAAUGUCUACAAUAAGCA